CUAUUGUCUUCUAAUAUAUUCGAAGGGUUUUUGAACCUGUGCAGAGCUCCUCUGCUGGAUAGAUAAGAGAAUUGGGGUACUUGGUUUCGCCCAUUCUCUUAAGAGUUGAGAAGGCAAUGGUUACUUGACUUCGCCCGCCUCCUCAAGGGUUGUACUUCAUGCAUUGAGCUGGUUACUAGCCUUCGCCUGCUCUUUGCUUACACUUCUGAAGCACUCGAAGUGUUUGCACUCCUUGCAUUGAGUUAGCUACUGUGAUUCACCUUCU
rnacentral:lncRNA from 1 species